rnacentral:rRNA from 1 species
AUUGAGCGCUGGCGGCGUGCUUAACACAUGCAAGUCGAGCGGUAACAGGCGUAGCAAUACGUGCUGACGAGCGGCGAACGGGUGAGUAAUGCUUCGGAAUCUUCCUUGUAGUGGGGAAUAACCUGGGGAAACUCAGGCUAAUGCCGCAUACGAACCAUGGUUGAAAGCGGGGGAUCGCAAGACCUCGCGCUAUAAGAUGAGCCGAAGUCGGAUUAGCUAGUUGGUGGGGUAAAGGCCUACCAAGGCGACGAUCCGUAGCUGGUCUGAGAGGACGACCAGCCACACUGAGACUGAGACACGGCCCAGACUCCUACGGGAGGCAGCAGUGGGGAAUAUUGGACAAUGGGGGCAACCCUGAUCCAGCGACGCCGCGUGUGUGAAGAAGGCCUGCGGGUUGUAAAGCACUUUUAGUGGGGACAAAAAGCCGAGGGCUAAUACCUUUCGGUCUUGAUUUAACCCAAAGAAAAAGCACCGGCUAACUCUGUGCCAGCCGCCGCCGUAACAC